AUAAAUGAUUAUAUUUAAUUUCGACUUAAAUUUAGUAAGUGUAUUUACCAUUUAUA
rnacentral:tRNA from 1 species